GACGAACGCUGGCGGCGUGCCUAAUACAUGCAAGUCGAACGCUGAAGAGAGGAGCUUGCUCUUCUUGGAUGAGUUGCGAACGGGUGAGUAACGCGUAGGUAACCUGCCUUGUAGCGGGGGAUAACUAUUGGAAACGAUAGCUAAUACCGCAUAACAAUGGAUGACACAUGUCAUUUAUUUGAAAGGGGCAAUUGCUCCACUACAAGAUGGACCUGCGUUGUAUUAGCUAGUAGGUGAGGUAAUGGCUCACCUAGGCGACGAUACAUAGCCGACCUGAGAGGGUGAUCGGCCACACUGGGACUGAGACACGGCCCAGACUCCUACGGGAGGCAGCAGGAGGGAAUCUUCGGCAAUGGGGGCAACCCUGACCGAGCAACGCCGCGUGAGUGAAGAAGGGUUUCGGAUCGUAAAGCUCGGUUGUAAGUCAAGAACGGGUGUGAGAGUGGAAAGUUCACACUGUGACGGUAGCUUACCAGAAAGGGACGGCUAACUACGUG
rnacentral:rRNA from 1 species